rfam:Loxodonta africana unplaced genomic scaffold scaffold_27, whole genome shotgun sequence.
UUGAUUAUACUUUCAGAGAUCAUUUGUAUAGUUCUCUACCAGAGAGGGUUGUCUGAUUGUGUAGAGCACCGGAAACCACAAGGAGGAGGCGCAGCGUUCCAUCCUGAGCUGGCUCUUGGUCCUGCUUCCCUGCAGCUGCUAUUUGUCAUUGAUGAUCCUUAUCUUCCUUUUGAGAGAGUAAAGAGAGAGUGCAGUCUGGGUGGU